rnacentral:lncRNA from 1 species
AUUAAUUCAUAUAUUAUUAUUAACUAAUUAAUAUAAUUAUUACCAUCGUCCGCCAAUCUUUUUGAUCGAAAUAUUAAAAAUAGCAGAUCUUUUGACAAAAGAAAAAGGGAGCCUUGCCUUAUUGAGCACGUAGAAGCUGCCUAAUUUUUGGCUAGAAGCCGGCCCCAAUAUGUAAUAAUUGCAAUGUGUAAUAAUUGCAGGACCAUCUCAUAUGAUUUUGAUUAAUUUGGAAACAUAUCGUAAAUUCAAUUGCUUCUAGAAGGCAUGUAAUGCAUGGGACCUAAUGUUAUCUUGUAGCUUUCUUUAAUUUAGUUUCCUUUUAUAGGAUGGGCAUGUGAAGGUACCCCUCACAUUUUGGCAACAAACUUGUUGCAUAAAAGAAAAGAAACACAGAUUUAUUCUUGCAAUGUAUGUAGAAACAUUUGCAAUUGAACUAUUAAAGUUUUGGGUAAUGAUUUCCUCCCAUAGUUUUUAUGAAUUCAUCUUAUUUUUAAAAAAUAAUUACAAAAAUAUACAUUAU